rnacentral:lncRNA from 1 species
UGGAGGAUAUAGGGUUUGCUAUGGUUUAUAGUGGAAGGAUGAGUAUAGAGAAACCAAGAAAUCAUAAGGAUAAAAGAAUGAGGAAGAAGGGUAAAACUCUAAGAAAGAAAAAAUUAAAAAUUAAAGCAUACGUUUAAGGAGAAUUUGCAAAAUGUAUUUGGUAAUGAUGAAGAGAGAGUUGGUGAGACUUUUGAUUUUCCAUGGGGAGUUUUGCAUGAGGUAAGCCUAAAGGUCCACCACCCGUAUAAAUUUUGAUUGGUGUUAAAACACCUAUUCUUGGGCAGGGGGUAGAGACGGUGGGGG